UACGGAGGGUGCAAGCGUUAUCCGGAAUUACUGGGCGUAAAGCGCAUGUAGGCGGCUUUCUAAGUCGGGGGUGAAAUCCUGGAGCUCAACUCCAGAACUGCCUUCGAUACUGGAGAGCUUGAGUCCGGGAGAGGUGAGUGGAACUGCGAGUGUAGAGGUGAAAUUCGUAGAUAUUCGCAAGAACACCAGUGGCGAAGGCGGCUCACUGGCCCGGUACUGACGCUGAGGUGCGAAAGCGUGGGGAGCAAACAGG
rnacentral:rRNA from 1 species